UGAUGUAUCAUAAUAAUUGAUUAUGCUUAUGUUGUAUUAAUAGAAGGGGAGGGGCUAUGGGACCCCUCCUCCUCUACAUUUAUAGGGUCCUAGACUACAGAUGAACAAAAUAUAUAUUCAUAAGGUUUUAGAAUUGUUCCACAGUCUUUUCUAAGUCUCUGCCUCUUAUAAAGAAAUGGUCUGUGAGAAAGCACUUGAAAGAUAAACAUAGAGCCCUGCAGGGGAGUAGAAGAGAAAAGAGGCUAGUCAGACAUUCCUCUACAAAUCAACUUGGGGGAGUGGACAUUUACUGCUGAGGUCUUAGAAAACACUGGAACUAUUGUAUCUCUUGCAAGUUUGUAUAGCUGUGUAUGCAUGGGCUUGGUCUGAGGAGUAGCAGGUAAUGACCUAUGCAGUGACAUCACCGGGGGUUGACUAUAAGCAUGAUAAAAGCAACUUGGACUUUUCCUUUGGGGUAGAACUCAUGAGACAUCAGUUGUAUGUGUGAUGUUUGAUCUUUGACUUCUGUCUACAGCUGUAUUUUGAUUAAAAUUGUUAUGAUUUAUAAGUGCACAUUUUGAGUGUUCCUUAUUUGUUAAGUAAAUAAGACAGAGCACAGAAAAACGGAACCAACACAGCUCGACAGGUUCCCGCACCUCAGCCGGCUCUACAGGUUCCCGCGCCUCAGCCAGCUCUACAGGUUCCCUCGCCUCAGCCGGCUCUUCAGGUUCCCGCUCCUCAGCCGGCUCGACAGGUUCCCUCGCCGCAGCCGGCUCUACAGGUUCCCUCGCCUCAGCCGGCUCUACAGGUUCCCUCGCCUCAGCCGGCUCUACAGGUUCCCUCGCCUCAGCCGGCUCUACAGGUUCCCGCGCCUCAGCCGGCUCUACAGGUUCCCGCGCCUCAGCAGAAGUGAUUGCCCCACUCCUGGUCCUCGGGACCAUCCCUCUGGUUGGGGUCCUGCGGCUGGAGCCGCGUGUCAGGGAGGGGGUACUGUCACGUCUAAUCCCCCUCUCUGGCGCUCGUCGUCGCCAGUUUACUCAUCAUUGCACACACCUGCCACCAUCGUUACGCACACCUGCGUGAGACUCACCUGGACUCCAUCACCUUCCUGAUUACCUCCCCUAUAUCUGUCAGUCCCUUUUUGGUCCUUUCCCCAGGCGUUAUUGAUUCUGUUUCUGUGUUUAAUGUCUGUA
rnacentral:lncRNA from 1 species